GAUCCAUUGGUUACACUAGAUUGAUGAUGCUAGCGCAGGAGCAGCAAUUAAAUUAAUGUUGGUGUGGUGGUAGGAGUUAAGAAACCUUUUAGUACCGUAGGAGAAUUAUUAAUUAGACGUAUAAAUAAAGUCACAUUGGUAUCCCAAAAGUAUGCAGUAUCGAGAAAAUAAAGCAAAUAAUGCAAGAAUCAAUAUUCAAAAAAUCAGAACCAAAGCCAC
rnacentral:lncRNA from 1 species